ACUACAACACAGUUUGGAAAUGUAACUCAGAUCCAAUGGUAUUUGUCCAGCUCGCAGGCUCGUAUUUGGGUAUUUUUCAGAAUUCGGGCCCAUUUCUGUCCACAGGGUGUAAUUAUAUUAAAAACUAAUUAAAUCUAAUACAUUUUAAAUCCAUUAAUUAGUAUAAACAAAAACAAGCCUAGACCUUUUUUAUGGUUGCUCUUACUAAUGAUUUUAACACAUUUUAUUGGUGUUUAGUGGUACCAUAUCUGUGCUUUGGUGUUGUCCGCCACCAUAGUUUUCACAUGUCGUGCCAUAUCUCAAACAUUUUUUAUCACAAAAUUAAUAAUAAAAAUAUGCAUAUGAAUUUAAUGUUACUUGAACUAAUAAACUACAUGCACAGAUUAAGCAUAUAUAUGCAUUUUGUACUUUUUUUUGGUUAAUUUCUACCUGUCCCAUGGUUUAGCCGUCAUUACCAACACACUCUGCAUAAAGGCACUUUCCUACUGUUUUUUCAUCAAAUGUUUAUUUGGUAGCCAUGGUAACUUAAUAUCAUAGUGGAGCACAUGUAUUUCAAGCUGCAAGACUGAUGCCUUGAUGUCCAGAAAAGUGUGACAUGGCUCCAAAAGCAGCUGCCCAAAGGUCCAAAUCAUACAGAAAACGUAUAAAAGAUGAUCCUGAGAAAUAUGCACAGCAUCUGCAGAGUGAGAAAGAGAGAUAUCGUAGAAGAAGAGAAACAGGAAAAUUGAAAUCUGUUUCCCUAUUGAGCACCCGAGAACACAGAUAUGAAAAAAAGAGAUGGAAAGUUAAUCAACAAAGGAAGAGAGCUAAGGACAGAGAAAACAGAGAAAUACAAAAUUAUCUUUCAAUGAAUAGUCCUCCAGAAUCUCCUGAUGUCCAGGCACAAGAUAAUCAGAAUAGGGAUGUGCCAUGUGCAAGGAAUGAAAGAGGAGGUAAGGCGGAUUCCAUCCAAACCCCAAAGCAAAUAGGACGCAAAAAAGUAAAUAGAAACAGAAGAAAGGUCUACCAUGAUCUUCAAAAGUCGCAAAAAAAGCUGGAAAAUGCCUUGCAAAAGGUUGAUAAGUAUAGGAAAAGGUUAGAUAGGCUGACUAAGAAGCAUACCACUGAGCAGUCCCCAAGAACUAAAGCAAGAAAACAGAUGAGGGGAGGACAUGGUAAUCUCAGGAGGACACAUGUGUUCCAUAACACAUUAGUCUCACAGCUGCGACAAACCUACCAUCAAAAGAAAAUUAAAGAAAAACAAAUCAUAUCAAAGGUCAUUGCUGGAAACAUUUUGAAGAAGUACCGGUUAGUGUAUGCGGCACACAAAGAACUUGGAAUAUCCUACAAAACAAUGAGAAAGAACAUAAUGACACCUGGUCUUCAGUAUUCGAGAAAAAAACAUAGUAAUGUGGUGAGCAACACUACAAAAGAGAAAAUUAAAGAAUUCUUGGAACGUGACAACAAUUCGCGAGCUACUACAGGAAAGAAAGACAUCAUAACUAGACAGAAGUUCAAAAAGCAGAAGCGUUACCUCAAUGACUCUCUUUUCAGACUGUAUCAAAGUUUCAAGGAAGAAUAUCCCCAGGUGAAAAUCUCAUACAGUAAAUUCUGUGACAACCGUCCUUUCUGGGUCGUCAAACCCUCCAUUCAAGACAGGGAUACCUGUUUAUGCAAGACCCAUGCCAACAUCCAACUCAUGGCUGAUAAAUUGCUUUAUCUGAAAGUAAUUAGUACCAACAGAAUUGAAAACUCAAUGCACUCACUAUGUUGUGAAAGUCCAACGAAAGCCUGCAUGUAUAGAGAAUGUGUCCAUUGCCAGGACAAAGAGGUACAAACUGCUGCAUUUGAACCUGGUGAGCAAACACAGUGGAUGGAAUGGCGGAGCAAAACAGAAAUCAGGGAGAAAAAGAAAGGUGGUGAUAAGGUGACAUUCACUGCUCACUUAACAGUGAAGGAGCAAAUCCAAGGAACCAUUCAACACUUGUUGGAAAAUCUCACAGCAGCACUAAAGAACAAGUUUGGCAAACAUUCUUUUAACAUUGCACAUCAGUACUCAACCCUCAAAGCCCUGAAGGAAAAUGUUCAAGAAAAUGAGUUAAUUCUCCAUGUGGACUUUGCUGAAAAUUAUCUGUGCAAGUAUUCUUUGGAAAUACAAGCUGUACAUUUUGGAGACUCUCAUAAGCAAGUAUCCCUACACACAGGAGUUGCUUAUACGGUUGAUGGUGCUCUAUCCUUCUGUUCUGUCUCUGCUUCAAUGCGACAUGAUGCCUCAGCCAUAUGGACACAUCUGAGCCCUGUACUCUCUCACUUCAGAGAGCUCAUCCCAUCUCUGAACACACUGCACAUGAUAAGUGAUGGACCAACGACGCAGUAUCGUUCAAAGAAGAACUUUUUCUGUCUCAGCUCUGUUCCAUUUAAGCUAGGAUUUAAAAAGGUCACAUGGAAUUUCCUAGAGGCAGGCC
ensembl:lncRNA